AGUCUGCUGGAUUCUCGAGGUACGGUGGGGGGAGGGAGCUCCCACAGUUUUGCUCCCCCAGUUUCCUCCCUCCGGGGAAAAACCGUGAGAGGAGAACGACCCGGCAGCGGCAGAUCUCGCGAGAGAGACUGACGUGACUUGAGCGUUGCCGAGGCAAUGGCGGGAGGCUUAAACUGCUGAACCGCGCUGCCACCAGGCUGAGAGAGCAGGAGAGCCAGCGUGUGUGAGUGCGGUAAGGACAGAGCCAGCGCUAUAGGCUACAGGGCAGAGCAGCUUUAACCAUCUGUCUUCUUACUUCAAACAUGUGAUUAGUCAUUAGAAUUGGUAUCUUUCUCAUACCCUUCAUCUGUCCUGAGCUUCCAAGCUCCCAGCAGAGACAGUGCAGACCACCAUCACGCCAUGUGUACUUUUCAUGUACUGACCACAAAGCAAGUGCUGGAAGUGAAGGAUUCCGAAGAGAGUCAAUUCAAUACACACAGAGACUUGCGCUCUCAGGACAACGUGGCAGCUGAUGUGACCAAGGAGAAAGGACCAAGGAGAGAAUUCAAUAUGCUGAAGAACUUGCUUAAAUGCUUUCUAGAUUAUAGAUAGAAGAAUAGGAUUAGAACAAGUAUCAAAUAUAUAUUCUUUUAUGAACUUCUAGUUAAAUGGAGAUCACCUAUUAAUUCUCUGUGUACCAAAUAUUCUUUGUCAGGCAUGCUAAUAAUAAAAAUCCGUUAACUGCAGUAUGAUUAAUUUUAUUUCAAAUGCAAGAAUGAAGAAAACCUAUUUUUUCUGGAUAUUAUCAUUAAAGGAUGAUCAAAAAAUUAAAUUUGUUUGAAGUUCAUGUGAAUAACAAUUACAGCAUCAAGUUUAAUCUUUUACUUUAAUCCUAUUUACAUGGAAAAUGAGUUUAAAACAAGCUCUUUACUCCCACAGGAUAUAAUAAAUUGUUUUCUCUGC